rnacentral:rRNA from 1 species
CAGCUUGUUGGUGGGGUAAUGGCCUACCAAGGCGACGACGGGUAGCCGGCCUGAGAGGGCGACCGGCCACACUGGGACUGAGACACGGCCCAGACUCCUACGGGAGGCAGCAGUGGGGAAUAUUGCACAAUGGGCGAAAGCCUGAUGCAGCGACGCCGCGUGAGGGAUGACGGCCUUCGGGUUGUAAACCUCUUUCACCAGGGACGAAGCUAACGUGACGGUACCUGGAGAAGAAGCACCGGCUAACUACGUGCCAGCAGCCGCGGUAAUACGUAGGGUGCGAGCGUUGUCCGGAAUUAUUGGGCGUAAAGAGCUUGUAGGCGGUUUGUCGCGUCUGCUGUGAAAGACCGGGGCUUAACUCCGGUUCUGCAGUGGGUACGGGCAGACUAGAGUAUGGUAGGGGAGACUGGAAUUCCUGGUGUAGCGGUGAAAUGCGCAGAUAUCAGGAGGAACACCGAUGGCGAAGGCAGGUCUCUGGGCCAUUACUGACGCUGAGAAGCGAAAGCAUGGGGAGCGAACAGGAUUAGAUACCCUGGUAGUCCAUGCCGU